GAUGAACGCUGGCGGCGUGCCUAAUACAUGCAAGUCGAGCGAACAGACGAGGAGCUUGCUCCUCUGACGUUAGCGGCGGACGGGUGAGUAACACGUGGAUAACCUACCUAUAAGACUGGGAUAACUUCGGGAAACCGGAGCUAAUACCGGAUAAUAUAUUGAACCGCAUGGUUCAAUAGUGAAAGACGGUUUUGCUGUCACUUAUAGAUUGAUCCGCGCCGCAUUAGCUAGUUGGUAAGGUAACGGCUUACCAAGGCAACGAUGCGUAGCCGACCUGAGAGGGUGAUCGGCCACACUGGAACUGAGACACGGUCCAGACUCCUACGGGAGGCAGCAGUAGGGAAUCUUCCGCAAUGGGCGAAAGCCUGACGGAGCAAAGCCGCGUGAGUGAUGAAGGUCUUCGGAUCGUAAAACUCUGUUAUUAGGGAAGAACAAAUGUGUAAGUAACUAUGCACGUCUUGACGGUACCUAAUCAGAAAGCCACGGCUAACUACGUG
rnacentral:rRNA from 1 species